rnacentral:rRNA from 1 species
CAACUGCAGUCGAGCGGACAGAUGGGAGCUUGCUCCCUGAUGUUAGCGGCGGACGGGUGAGUAACACGUGGGUAACCUGCCUGUAAGACUGGGAUAACUCCGGGAAACCGGGGCUAAUACCGGAUGGUUGUCUGAACCGCAUGGUUCAGACAUAAAAGGUGGCUUCGGCUACCACUUACAGAUGGACCCGCGGCGCAUUAGCUAGUUGGUGAGGUAACGGCUCACCAAGGCGACGAUGCGUAGCCGACCUGAGAGGGUGAUCGGCCACACUGGGACUGAGACACGGCCCAGACUCCUACGGGAGGCAGCAGUAGGGAAUCUUCCGCAAUGGACGAAAGUCUGACGGAGCAACGCCGCGUGAGUGAUGAAGGUUUUCGGAUCGUAAAGCUCUGUUGUUAGGGAAGAACAAGUGCCGUUCAAAUAGGGCGGCACCUUGACGGUACCUAACCAGAAAGCCACGGCUAACUACGUGCCAGCAGCCGCGGUAAUACGUAGGUGGCAAGCGUUGUCCGGAAUUAUUGGGCGUAAAGGGCUCGCAGGCGGUUUCUUAAGUCUGAUGUGAAAGCCCCCGGCUCAACCGGGGAGGGUCAUUGGAAACUGGGGAACUUGAGUGCAGAAGAGGAGAGUGGAAUUCCACGUGUAGCGGUGAAAUGCGUAGAGAUGUGGAGGAACACCAGUGGCGAAGGCGACUCUCUGGUCUGUAACUGACGCUGAGGAGCGAAAGCGUGGGGAGCGAACAGGAUUAGAUACCCUGGUAGUCCACGCCGUAAACGAUGAGUGCUAAGUGUUAGGGGGUUUCCGCCCCUUAGUGCUGCAGCUAACGCAUUAAGCACUCCGCCUGGGGAGUACGGUCGCAAGACUGAAACUCAAAGGAAUUGACGGGGGCCCGCACAAGCGGUGGAGCAUGUGGUUUAAUUCGAAGCAACGCGAAGAACCUUACCAGGUCUUGACAUCCUCUGACAAUCCUAGAGAUAGGACGUCCCCUUCGGGGGCAGAGUGACAGGUGGUGC